GAUCUUCUACGGGAGGCAGCAGUGGGGAAUAUUGGACAAUGGGGGCAACCCUGAUCCAGCCAUGCCGCGUGUGUGAAGAAGGCCUUAGGGUUGUAAAGCACUUUCAGUGGUGAGGAAGGGUGCGUAGUUAAUACCUGCGUACUUUGACGUUAGCCACAGAAGAAGCACCGGCUAACUCUGUGCCAGCAGCCGCGGUAAUACAGAGGGUGCAAGCGUUAAUCGGAAUUACUGGGCGUAAAGCGCGCGUAGGUGGUUUGUUAAGUCGGAUGUGAAAUCCCCGGGCUCAACCUGGGCAUUGCACCCGAUACUGGCAGGCUAGAGUACGAGAGAGGGAUGUGGAAUUUCCUGUGUAGCGGUGAAAUGCGUAGAUAUAGGAAGGAACACCAGUGGCGAAGGCGACA
rnacentral:rRNA from 1 species